GAACUUAGCAGAGAUGCUUUGGUGCCUUCGGGAACUCUGAGACAGGUGCUGCAUGGCUGUCGUCAGCUCGUGUUGUGAAAUGUUGGGUUAAGUCCCGCAACGAGCGCAACCCUUAUCCUUUGUUGCCAGCGGCUCGGCCGGGAACUCAAAGGAGACUGCCGGUGAUAAACCGGAGGAAGGUGGGGAUGACGUCAAGUCAUCAUGGCCCUUACGGCCAGGGCUACACACGUGCUACAAUGGCGCAUACAAAGAGAAGCGACCUCGCGAGAGCAAGCGGACCUCAUAAAGUGCGUCGUAGUCCGGAUUGGAGUCUGCAACUCGACUCCAUGAAGUCGGAAUCGCUAGUAAUCGUAGAUCAGAAUGCUACGGUGAAUACGUUCCCGGGCCUUGUACACACCGCCCGUCACACCAUGGGAGUGGGUUGCAAAAGAAGUAGGUAGCUUAACCUUCGGGAGGGCGCUUACCACUUUGUGAUUCAUGACUGGGGUGAAGUCGUAACAAGGUAAGCGUAGCGAG
rnacentral:rRNA from 1 species